rnacentral:rRNA from 1 species
UGCCCUAGUAACGGCGAGUGAAGCGGCAACAGCUCAAAUUUGAAAGCUGGCCUUCGGGUCCGCAUUGUAAUUUGUAGAGGAUGCUUUGGGGCAGCCGCCUGUCUAAGUUCCUUGGAACAGGACGUCAUAGAGGGUGAGAAUCCCGUAUGUGACAGGACAUGGCACCCUAUGUAAAGCUCCUUCGACGAGUCGAGUUGUUUGGGAAUGCAGCUCUAAAUGGGAGGUAAAUUUCUUCUAAAGCUAAAUACCGGCGAGAGACCGAUAGCGCACAAGUAGAGUGAUCGAAAGAUGAAAAGCACUUUGGAAAGAGAGUUAAAAAGCACGUGAAAUUGUUGAAAGGGAAGCGCUUGCAAUCAGACUUGUUUUGACUGUUCGGCCGGUCUUCUGACCGGUUUACUCAGUCUGGACAGGCCAGCAUCAGUUUUGGCGGCCGGAUAAAGGCUCAGGGAAUGUGGCUCUCACUUCGGUGGGAGUGUUAUAGCCCUGGGUGUAAUACGGCCAGCCGGGACUGAGGUCCGCGCUUCGGCUAGGAUGCUGGCGUAAUGGUUGUAAGCGACCCGUCUUGAA